rnacentral:rRNA from 1 species
AUGUCGGUGUCAGCUUCAGUGGCGGCGAACCAGCAGCCAGGAGGUGUUGUGUCAAGCACAGCAUCAACAGCUACACAGGGAGAAGGAGCACAGGUUGUUCCUAGAUCAAAAGAUCCAGCAUGGAAAUAUUGCACAUGUCCAGACAUCAGCAAGAAGAACUGUCUAAAAUGCAUAUUCUGCGGUCAUUUGUCCAGCAAUGGCACUAGUCGAAUCAAAUUGCACCUUGCAUGCAUUCCUAAGUCUGGUGUGGAUCACUGUGAGAAAGUGCCAGCUGAUGUCAAAGAGGAGAUCCUUCAGUACUUGACAAAGAAGGGUGACAAAAAGGCAGCCAGGCUUAUGGAGCAGAAGAGACGCAGAAAUGGAGUUGACUUGAGCCACUCGGAGGGGGAAGAACAAGCUACAAGUGAUGAAGAUGGCCUAAACCAUUCUGCACUUGUGCUUCAGCCAUCGAGAUCAACAAGAAAUAAAUCUAAAUCUUCAAGUGGCCCUAUGGACAAAUACUGUGAAUUAACUCCCGAAGAGCUUGUUGCCGCAAGGAAGAGGAAACGUGGUGCUGACACGAUCCAGGGGAAGCUGACAACUGAGAAGAGAGAACAAAAAAGGGCUCGUGCUUGUGAGUACAUCUGCCAGUGGUUCUAUGAAGCUUGCAUUCCAUUCAACGCAGUCACACUUCCCAGCUUUGACCUCAUGCUUCAGUCAAUUGGACAGUAUGGUGAGGACUUGGACGGUCCUACUCCUUAUGAAAUGGGUGGCCCAAUAUUGUAUAAGAGGAGGAAAAGAGUUCAGGAGUCCUUCAAUGCACACAGGAAGACUUGGGAGCUUACUGGAUGUACAAUCAUGACAGAUGCAUGGACUGACAUAAGAGGAAGAGGGGUAAUGAAUCUUGUAGUUCAUAGUGCUCAUGGUGUGGUGUUUCUUAAUUCUGUGGAUUGUUUAGCCGUGAAGAAAGAUGGGAAGUACAUCUUUGAGCUUGUUGAUAGAUGCAUAGAAGAGGUUGGUGAGAAGCAUGUAGUUCAAGUUGUGACUGAUAAUGCAAGUGUUAAUCAAGCGGCAUCAACCUUGUUGAAAGCAAAGCACCCCAACAUAUUUUGGAAUGGUUGUGCUGCCCAUUCUAUUGAUCUGAUGUUAGAGGAUAUUGGCAAAGCUUAA